GACGAACGCUGGCGGCGUGCUUAACACAUGCAAGUCGAACGGAAAGGCCCUGCUUGCAUGGUAUUCGAGUGGCGAACGGGUGAGUAACACGUGGGUGAUCCGCCCUCUACUUUUGGGUAUGCCUGCACAACUGGGUCUAUUACCGGAUAGGGGCCAUUUUUCGUGUGAUGGUUGGAAAGUUUUUUCGGUGUUGGAUGAGCUCGCGGCCUAUCAGCUUGUUGGUGGGGUAAUGGCCUACCAAGGCGGCGACGGGUAGCCGGCCUGAGAGGGUGGACGACCACAUUGGGACUGAGAGACGGCCCAGACUCCUACGGGAGGCAGCAGUGGGGAAUAUUGCACAAUGGGCGCAAGCCUGAUGCAGCGACGCCGCGUGGGGGAUGACGGCCUUCGGGUUGUAAACUCCUUUCGCUAGGGACGAAGCUUUUGUGACGGUACCUAGAUAAGAAGCACCGGCUAACUACGUG
rnacentral:rRNA from 1 species